CAGGAGGGUGCAAGCGUUAAUCGGAGUUACUGGGCGUAAAGGGCGCGUAGGCGGUCCUGCAAGUGAGAUGUGAAAUCCCCGGGCUUAACCUGGGAACUGCAUCUUAUACUGCGGGGCUGGAGUACUGUAGAGGAUAGUGGAAUUUCCGGUGUAGCGGUGAAAUGCGUAGAGAUCGGAAGGAACACCAGUGGCGAAGGCGACUGUCUGGACAGAUACUGACGCUGAGGCGCGAAAGCGUGGGGAGCAAACAGGAUUAGAUACCCUGGUAGUCCACGCCGUAAACGAUGAGAACUAGAUGUUGGUAGGCCUAGCCUAUUAGUAUCGAAGCUAACGCGAUAAGUUCUCCGCCUGGGGAGUACGGCCGCAAGGUUA
rnacentral:rRNA from 1 species